rnacentral:rRNA from 1 species
GCGCAGCAGGCGAGAAUCCUUCGCAAUGCGGGAAACCGCGACGAGGGGACUCCCAGUGCCUACGCUCAGCGUAGGCUGUUCCCGAGCCUAGAAAGCUCGGGGAGUAAGGGCUGGGUAAGACGGGUGCCAGCCGCCGCGGUAAUACCCGCAGCCCGAGUGGUGGCCACUAUUAUUGGGCCUAAAGCGUCCGUAGCCGGCCCGGUAAAUGCCUGGGUAAAUCGUGAGGCCUAACCUCACGAAUUCCGGGUAGACUGCCGGGCUAGGGGACCGGAGGAGGGAGAGGGUACUCCAGGGGUAGGGGUGAAAUCCUGUAAUCCCUGGAGGACCACCGGUGGCGAAGGCGCUCUCCUAGGACGGGUCCGACGGUGAGGGACGAAAGCCAGGGGAGCGAACCGGAUUAGAUACCCCUGUAGU